rnacentral:rRNA from 1 species
UACGAAGGGGGCUAGCGUUGUUCGGAUUUACUGGGCGUAAAGCGCUCGUAGGCGGACCUUUAAGUCGGAGGUGAAAUCCCAGGGCUCAACCCUGGAAUUGCCUUCGAUACUGGGGGUCUUGAGUAUGGAAGAGGUUGGUGGAAUUGCAAGUGUAGAGGUGAAAUUCGUAGAUAUUUGCAAGAACACCGGUGGCGAAGGCGGCCAACUGGUCCAUUACUGACGCUGAGGAGCGAAAGCGUGGGGAGCAAACAGG